rnacentral:rRNA from 1 species
UACGGAGGGGGCUAGCGUUAUUCGGAAUUAUUGGGCGUAAAGGGCGUGUAGGCGGCUUUGUGUGUCCCAUGUGAAAGCCCUCGGCUCAACCGGGGAACUGCAUGGGAAACUGCGGAGCUUGAGUCCGGGAGAGGAUAGUGGAAUUCCCAGUGUAGCGGUGAAAUGCGUAGAUAUUGGGAGGAACACCUGCGGUGUAGACGGCUUACUGGACCGUAACUGACGCUGAGGCACGAAAGCGUGGGGAGCAAACAGG